rnacentral:rRNA from 1 species
GCAGGCCUAACACAUGCAAGUCGAGCGGUAGAGAGAAGCUUGCUUCUCUUGAGAGCGGCGGACGGGUGAGUAAUGCCUAGGAAUCUGCCUGGUAGUGGGGGAUAACGUUCGGAAACGGACGCUAAUACCGCAUACGUCCUACGGGAGAAAGCAGGGGACCUUCGGGCCUUGCGCUAUCAGAUGAGCCUAGGUCGGAUUAGCUAGUUGGUGAGGUAAUGGCUCACCAAGGCGACGAUCCGUAACUGGUCUGAGAGGAUGAUCAGUCACACUGGAACUGAGACACGGUCCAGACUCCUACGGGAGGCAGCAGUGGGGAAUAUUGGACAAUGGGCGAAAGCCUGAUCCAGCCAUGCCGCGUGUGUGAAGAAGGUCUUCGGAUUGUAAAGCACUUUAAGUUGGGAGGAAGGGUUGUAGAUUAAUACUCUGCAAUUUUGACGUUACCGACAGAAUAAGCACCGGCUAACUCUGUGCCAGCAGCCGCGGUAAUACAGAGGGUGCAAGCGUUAAUCGGAAUUACUGGGCGUAAAGCGCGCGUAGGUGGUUUGUUAAGUUGGAUGUGAAAUCCCCGGGCUCAACCUGGGAACUGCAUUCAAAACUGACUGACUAGAGUAUGGUAGAGGGUGGUGGAAUUUCCUGUGUAGCGGUGAAAUGCGUAGAUAUAGGAAGGAACACCAGUGGCGAAGGCGA